rnacentral:rRNA from 1 species
GGAAACGACCCGCCGAAUUUAAGCAUAUCAAAAGCCCGAGGAAA